UUUCAGUCAUAAAACGCGCGUCAACCAAUUCGGUUAAAUUAGAAGUUUAUGCGAGUUUGUUAGUUUUUUGUGCUGUGUAUGUUUAAAUAUACUUUUGUGUGUGGGUGAAUCAAUGUUUGGCAUUUGAAUUGCAAUGCAAAAUGUGAAAGAUGAGUAAAAAAGUAAACAAAAUCGAAAAUUGUAAACAAAUGUGCUAAAGCCAAUCGAGUUUCCAGCUACAAUUGAAAUAAAUUGUGGUUCGCUCUGUGUUCUUAGCAAUAAAUAUUGAGAAUAUUUACGUCUGCAAAAUUUGUGCUGAAUAGAAUUCUUUACGUCUCUAUAUAUAUUGGAAUAAUAUUUUGCAUUUAUUUUGGAAAUCACGAAAAGCGCAAAUUCUAUAAUUGCGCUGUGCAAAGCAAUUGUGUUUUGUGUAUAACAACGGAAAAGCCGCCUUACGCGUGUGUGUGUGAAAUAACUAUGUAUGUAGUGCAGCUAGUGGGUGGCUUGCUUUUUCCAGGCUGGUACAUUGUCCUUCAACAAUUUCGUCAAAUGUCAAGCCAUAUGAACAGCGCAUAGUAUAGAUAUCAAUAAAUAAUCUUGAAAAGAGUUUACUAAACUAAAAGUAAGCGUUUAUUUGAAAGUGAUGGGUUUGCCGGUGUGGCUCCCACAGGAAUACCAGUGAGAUUACUCAUCGCGUUCGAUAAAAUAAAAGCAACAAAAAAGUGACCGGGGUUCAUACUCACAGUAGACCCCUUACGAGUGUCAGAAAAUGUCUAUACAAACACACGUGCUUCGAUAUUCAUAUACAUAUACACAUAUGCGCAAAAUAAAUGAAAGGAAGUAGUGGCGCUAUAUAAAAAUAGAUUUGUAUUCGCAAUUUUAAUGCUACUGAAAUAAAAAUAAAAGUGAAAAGCUACGUCAUACUCUACGUUGUAUACGUAUCCCUGCAUUUGACAACGCAAAAACAACAUACGAAAAGUCACCAACUCGUUGGAGGCCGUGCUGACAUUCGGCGCAUAUUCGUACAUAUCUGCAUAAACGACCGUGUGUUUGCGCCAGUGUUUGCCAUCAUCUGUGUUCUUCCUUUCAACUUAUAUUUCAUCUGCCAAGAACUUGAGUUUUUUCCAUGUAUUUUCAUUUUGUUUUUGUGUAACUUGUUUUUAUAAGAAUUUAUAAACUGGUAUAAAUUCUUGCUGGAUUGUGUUCUUCUACGAGUUAUUUCAAACUUGGCCUUCGCUUUUGAUUUGUGGCCAAGAUGAGCGAACGCAAAUUCUCACGCGUCCUAAACAGCAACAAAGCCGGUAUGGCAGCACAGCUGCGCGACUCCGUCUCGCAGGUGGUGCGGCAGAGCACAGCGCUGAUGCAAUAUCCUGCACCGGACAGCCGCAAUGUGAACAAAUCUCACGUGGUGGAGCCCAUCGAUUUUGAGGGCUUUGUGGCGAAAAACAAAAUGCUUAUACAAAAUGAUCCACAGCGAGAACUCUUGAUAUAUCCCAAUGACGAUGUGUCGGAAAUCGUUAUGCCUCGCAAACAGCGCACAAAUACCAAAUCAAUUAUCGACCGUUUCGAACCGCCGAACGAAGCUAUCAUUUGCCCAUUACACGGCGGCACAAAUGGCAGCUCUAACGGCUCAAGUAGUGCUUCCAUUUCACGCCAGAGUAGUCAUACAAAUAGUCCCAAGGCAACACAACGCCAAAUUAGCAGUCAAUCCAAUGCAAAUGUACAAAACGGUAAUCUCUCGAGAAAAAGCUCGCAGAGCUCAUCUACAAAAAUACAGCUAUCCAUCAAAUCACCAACUUCCUCACACGAAUCCUAUGAGUCUGCGCUAUCGACUGCCUGCUCGGCUGGUGGCAAUCUGACUUCCAACUCGCAUUCAUCCUCAUCGUCAACAUUGAAGUCGAAUAUACUCGCACAACCCGAAGAAGAUGAGGAUUUGGACGGCUCGGAUGGUGCGGACGGCAUGAGUAGCAAUGACAGUGGUGGCGGUACACGCGCCGAAUGUACGCGCUUCACACGUCAAGCGUUGUAUACAUAUCGUGCCAAGAAUCAUCUCAUACAUUACAAGUAUAGCGCUUACGGUGGCACUUGCCAUGACUUGCCAAAAAUAAAUCCACCCGAGGCUUUGAUAGAGGAAGUGUAUGAGAUUGAUGCCGAUCAGGAUCGUAUUGACGAGCAAAUGACACGAUCUCAAGCUGAUUCGAUAACCAAGCAGGGUUACUUGCUAAAGGGUCCCGACUCGGGUUCGGAUCGCAUGUUUGUCAAUAUUGGCAAUAAAUCCUUUAAAAGAAGGUAUUGCUAUCUGCGCCAGGAAGUGGACGGCACCUACAUACUCGAAUUACACAAAGAUGAGAAGCAAGGUGAGGCUAAGGCAACCAUAGUCAUGGACUUUUGCACGGAAGUGGUGCAGAACCCCAAACGCGGACGCUUUUGCUUCGAACUACGCAUGACCGCUGGUCAUAAGUCCUUUACGCUCGCUGCCGAAAACGAAGAAGAAUUCAAGGAUUGGUUAAGCAAGCUCUCGCUGGUGUUGCAACAAAACAAAAUUCAAGAGGAUAAACGUGUUGCAUCAUUGGAGCGCGCGCCGCAACCAAGCACCAGCACAGUCAUCUUCGGCACACUAAAAGGCCUCGAUCAGUCCAUGAACCCGCAAUUGAUAAAGUACGGACGUGAAACAGACAUUUCAAUUGCGCAGGCGCGACGCGAACAUCGCCGACGUCUCUUCGCUUGCUACCAAACGACGGGUAAAGCAACAAGCACCGACAGCGUCGAUCAGUUUCGUGAGCAAUUCGGCAAACGCAUUUUUAUUGCCUGUAAGGGCUUACGUUUUCGCUUGCAGUGCGCUGGCACAGACGGACUCGAUGGCGAGAAUUUAUGCCAAGUGGAACCAUACAUCACCAGCUUGGCAUUGUAUGAUGCACGUAACGCACGUAAAUUAACCGAAUCGUUUUACUUUAAUGUAAACGAUGAUAGUGUGAGCGAUAUGCUGCCCACGACGCCAGUGCCAAAUUCCGUCUCGGCUUGUUGUGUGCCACAGCGACGCGCCGAUGAGAAGGAUGAGCGCGCGCGCAGCAAUGGCGUACGCGUACAAAACUCGUUGCUGGAGAAUCUCUCCGGAGAUUUGCUGCGUUGCGGCAAAGAACACUUCGCGCACUUGCGUCAGGCGGUAUUCUCAGUGACAGCGCCACAUCCAGAUAUCUACUUGGUGUUGAAGGUGGAGAAAAUACUGCAAGGUAGCAUAGUGCAAGCGGCCGAGCCGUACUUGAAGACUGGACGCGAUCCGAAGAUCGCAUUAAAAUUACACAAAACAGCGCGUAAUUAUGCGCAAAACAUAGGACACUAUCGGCAACCAUUCGCAUGGGCGGCCAAACCGCUCUUUCGACUCUACCGUAACGAAUUGGAUACGGAGAAUAAUACAUUCGAAUUGACGACCAUCUACCGACAGGAGGCGAAUAAAUUGAAAGAUGAGGAGCUGUUGAAAUUGCUGGCGGAAUACCGAAAGCCCGAUAAACUGAGCAAACUCACAGUUAUACCGGGCUAUAUGAAGCUAACCAUUGAGGAGGUGGAGAAGGUGUCAGGUUCCUUUACUAAGUCUUUAGUGCCGCUAGCUAACUUCACAUUUCCACCCAAACCGCCCACGCUCGAGCUGACCGAAUUCCAAAGCAAUUGCAAGCGCGACACCUAUCCCUACAUAACAUUCUGCAAUCACUUAUUUGUCUAUCCGCAGUACUUGCAAUUCGAUAGUCAAAAGUUAUUUUCGCGCGCACGCAACAUUACCGUGGUGGUGGAGUUGCGCGACUCGGAUGAGGAGGGUAGCAAGCCACUGAAGUGCAUUUACGGUCGCCCUGGUCAUGAUUUCCUAGUCUCGCAAAUCGCUUGCCCCGUGCUGCAUCAUCACACCACACCCACUUGGUAUGAGGAGGUGAAAAUGCGUCUGCCAUUGGGGCUCUUUCCCGAACAUCACUUGCUCUUCUCCUUCUACCAUGUGUCGUGUAAUUUGGGCAAGAAGCGUGAUGCCAAUGCUGCGUUCGAAACACCCAUCGGUUAUGCUUGGUUGCCGCUGUUGCAAAAGGGUCGCAUCAAUCUCGAAGAGCAAGCCAUCGCUGUGUCGGCGUCUCUACCGGCGGGCUAUUUGUCGAUACAGCCACUGGGCCUGGGCAAAGGGCAGAAUUGUGGUCCUGAAAUACAAUGGAUCGACAAUCAGCGCUUACUGUUCGGCGUCGCCUUCCGCAUGGACUCAACCGUACUGACCGCCGAUCAGCAUUUGCAUAACUUUUUCGCACACUGCGAAAGACUGUUGGAGGGCGGCAAAACCACAGCGCUACCCGCAGAAUCGGAGACCUGUAAAAUACUCAAAGCGGCGCAUGCAGUCGAUAUCAGCACGCUGAUUAAUUUCUUGCCGACCGUAUUGAAUGAACUGUUCACACUACUCGUGCACACACAGUCGGAGGAGAUCGGCUUGAAUAUCAUACGCCUACUGAUCAACAUCAUACACAUGCUCAUCGAUGAGGCCGGUCGCAAAGAACUACUCAGCGCCUACGUUAAGUAUGUGUUUCAUGCGCCCUACUACAGCCAGAAAACGUCGCGUACGGUGCACGGUGAGCUGUGCAAAUAUCUGCCGACCAUUUUGCAUCCGCACAAUACCGAUUUUCUGAUCGUCAAUAAGUUUAUGCAUUAUUCGGGUAUAUUCUUCGAUUUGAUCAUUAAAAGUAUGGCACAACACUUAUUAGAUACGGGACGUAUACGUAUGUUGCGGAACGAAAGAUUUCCCAAAGAAUUUCCAGCGCGUGUUGAGAGUUUGAUCAAAGUGCUGACUUCAUAUCUGAUCUCGCGCUACAAAGAUCUGCCUGUCGAGACGCAACAGUUGAAUCGUUCGUUGUCGCAAUUCGUGCGUCGCUGCCUCAGCUACAUGGAUCGUGGUUUCGUCUUCAAGUUAAUCAAAUAUUAUAUGGAACAAUUUGAGCCGGGCGAUCAGCGUACGCUGCAAGAAUUUAAGUUUGACUUUCUGGCUGAGAUUUGUCAGCACGAGCAUUAUGUGCCGCUGAAUUUGCCAUUCGUGUUGAAUCCGAAGAAUCGUCCACCGGAAAUGAUGCUGCACUUUACACUUUCUGACGAGUUCUGUCGCCAACACUUUCUUGCCGGUUUGCUGUUGCAACAGCUGAAACAAAGUCUGAACGAAGCGAGCGCGGUGCGACGCCAUGCGCUGCGCAUCUUCAAAAAUCUGCUCGCCAAGCAUGAACUCGACGAUCGCUAUCAGAAUCGUGGACAACUCUCACGCAUAGCGCUAAUCUAUGUGCCAUGGUUGGGCAUUGUCAUAGAAAACACGCAUCGUAUCGACGAUAUGUCUGGCGUGGCAACGCCAAAUGGCCACGUCUACGCCGAUUCGGCUUCAUAUACGCAGCGUUUGUCAUGUUCCAGCAGUUAUGUAUUCGGCAAAGACACAGCCUUGAACUCGUCAACGUCUACGCCGCGUUCGAAAAACCGCAUGACACUGCAUAUUGAACAUCCAAGUCCACUGCGCGCUUCAGUGUAUGUGAGAGAUACGGCGCACCCAGGCACAGCGCCGCUCGCAAAUGGUAACUCGGAGAGUUCGCUAAAUACUCUAAAUUCCGAUUCGCAAAAUUCACAAGACACACCCACUUUAGGCGCCGUCACAAAUGGUCAUCAUGUUACCGACUUGACCGACGUUGCCAUGCGCAACGGUCACAAUCGCUCGCUUAAUCUUAUGCACGGUUUGAAUAGUCUACCGCGUUGCGAUAAAUUCAAUACGGCGGAGAGUAAAGAUCUCUUGCUUGGUUUUCUGUUUGUGGUCAAGCAUUUGGCGCAAGAUCAAAUGAUCGGUUGGUGGCAGAAUUGUACCGAAACCGAAACGCUGGCUUAUCUCAGCAUAUUGGAUUUAUGUCUGGUGCAAUUCCGUUACGUGGGCAAAAAGCAUAUCAAUUUAACGGACGAUGGUAAGGAAGCGCGUGCGGCGCGCACCGCAAAGGCCAGUACAUUACCUGCGCGCAUGCAGCCACCUAGCGCGGAGCAAGCCGCCAACGGUAAUGGUACAGCUCAUGAAUCAGGUACACUUAAUCAUACGCAGAAUCGUGAAAAUCUUGUUGAAGAGACUGCGCGCAGUCAACAGGCGCUUUACGAGUCUAAUUUGGCCACUGAAAUCGGUAUGAUCAUACUCGAUAGUCUCGGCUUGUAUGCCGUACACUUUCGUGACAAAUUGUGUGAUAGUCUAGUGUUGCCACAGCUGGCGCGCGUCUAUCUGCGUUUCCUGCAGCUGGGUCAGUCGGAAAGAUUGUCGAAACAUGUGUUUGCCGCACUGCGCGCAUUCAUUAACAAUUUCUCAAUAGCGCUUUUCAAAGGCAAUGCCACGCUAUGCGGUCAAAUGGUCUAUGAGCUUUUGAAGGGUUGCGACAGUCGUCUAGUCGCAAUACGCCACGAGUCAUGCGCAGUGCUCUAUCUGCUGAUGCGCAGCAACUUUGAAUAUACCGGCCGCAAAGGACUCACGCGUGUGCAUCUGCAAGUGAUCAUCUCCGUCUCACAGAUGAUAGGCAAUGUGAUCGGUUUGAAUAACGCGCGCUUUCAAGAAAGUCUCUCCAUGAUUAACAGUUACGCGAAUAGCGAUAAAGCAAUGAAGGGCACCGGUUUCCCAAUGGAGGUUAAAGAUCUAACGCGUCGCGUGCGCACCGUACUUAUGGCCACCGCACAAAUGCAGGCCCAUCAUAUGGAUCCCGAACGCUUACUCGAGCUACAGUAUUCACUUGCCAACUCUUAUGCUUCCACACCCGAACUACGCCACACCUGGCUCAUUACGAUGGCGCGCAAUCACGAGCAAAAUGGUAACAUAUCGGAGGCGGCUUGCUGCCACCUGCACAUCGCUGCGCUCAUGUCAGAGUAUUUACGCUUACGCGGUGGCUGCAACAUCAACUGGGGCGCCUCGUCCUUCAAGCAGAUAUCACGUAAUAUACCGCGUGACGAGCAAGGUUUGAAAUUGGAUGCAGGCGCUCAAGAUUCGCAAUACACCGAACAGAUGCUGUUGGACCAGCUGAAGCAGUGCGCUGAUUUUCUCGAUCGUGCUGAACGCUUCGAGUGCUUGGGCGAUCUUUAUAAACUCAUAUUGCCGAUGUAUGAGCGCAAUCGUUCGUAUAUCGAGUUGGCGCAAUCGUAUGAGCAUCUCAUGCAAGCUUAUAAUAAAAUCGUUGAAGUGAAUCGUUCCGGCAAACGCAUGUUGGGUCGUUUCUAUCGUGUCGUGUUUUUCGGCAUGAUGUACUUUGAAGAUGAUCACGCGGUUGAGUUUGUUUACAAGGAACCGAAACUAACCUCACUUAGCGAGAUUUCCGAGCGACUCUCGAAACAAUACAAAGAGAAAUUCGGCGAGGAUGUGGUCAAAAUGAUAAUGGACUCAUCACCGGUGGAUCCUAAUGCGCUCGAUGCCAAAUUGGCGUACAUCCAAGUCACCCACGUCAUACCAUUCUUCAGCAAAGAAGAGCUCGAUCAGCGCCUAAACGAAUUCGAACAAAAUCACGAUGUCGACACUUUUAUGUACGAAACACCAUUCACGAAAUCCGGUGCAGCGCGUGGCAGCGUCGAGGAGCAAUGGAAGCGCAAAACAGUCAUCAAAACCACCUACUCCUUCCCCUACGUGCUGAAACGUAUACCGGUAAAGUCGCGCGAAAUCAUCGAGCUGAGUCCCAUAGAGGUGGCGAUCGAUGAAAUGCAAACGAAGGUUUCAGAACUCGAAGAGGUCAUACUGCCGCCAGCCGAUGUUAAGAAGCUGCAGUUGCGGCUGCAAGGCAGCGUCGCCGUCACCGUUAAUGCUGGUCCACUCGCCUAUGCGCAAGCAUUUUUGGAUCCCAAAAUAGUGAGCAAUUUCUCCAUUGACCGCGUAGAAGAUUUGAAGGACAUUUUCAGGGACUUCGUUAAGGUGUGCAAUACAGCGCUGCAGUUGAACGCGCGCAUGAUCAGCAACGAUCAAGCGGAAUAUCAUAAUGCGCUCGCCGAAAACUACCGCAAACUGUGUCAGGCGCUCAGCGAGCUACUCGGUGAGCCGUUUCAACCUUUGGAUGAUAGCGUCACGAGCGGGCAACGCAAUAGCAUGGCUUUGUUUAAUGCAAUCAGUGGCGCUUCGCAAAAUUCAAGUACUGCCUAAAAUUUGCUAAAUACAAAUUAAAAACAAAAACAAAAACAAACCUAAAACUACGCACACAAAUGCACACACCUUCACACACAUACACACAUACAUAUAUACACAAUACGAAUGUUGUGUAUUAGUAAAUUUUAGUUAAAAAAAAUCUAUAGCAAAGCUAACUUGACUAGAAUUUUAAGCAACUAACCUAACUAAAAUUAAUCAAAAAUCUAAAAAAACUAAAGAAAAUAAUAACUAUUAGUAAUAAAUAAAAAGCUGUGUGUGUGCUCUCUAUGCGAGUUGUGCGGCUUUAUAACACGCAUUCAGGUGUUUGGUGCACGUUAUAAACGUAUGUAUGUAUGCUACAAAAUGCUGAUUGAUCGCUUGAUUUAUGGCAACCAAGUUUAGACUUUAUCACGCCAAUGCAAUGCUUUUUCUCUGGGCUUUGGGCGCGUCGGCUAAUGGUUUUGGUUUUGCAGUGUAUUAAUUUAUAAUAAAAGCCACACAGUCACAAGUAAUGCAAUAAAAAGAAACAAACACCCAUACAAUUACACCAACACAAUUAAAAGCAACAAAAAAUGCGACUUAAUGAAUUUACAACAACAAUAACAUAAUUGACACGCAUAUGUAGAACAUAAGUAAACGGCAUAUGUAAGCAAAAAACAAUAAUUAAAGGACAAGCAAACACGAAGCGAGGAGCGAAUAAGAAUUUAGAACAAGUUAAUACAAACACAGAAACACGGCAAUAUGUGUGCUUAUGCAGUUAGAAACGAUAUUUCAAGGAGCGCUUUGGUUAUUUGGCGUAUAAAAUAUUUACGAAUAUAAAAUUAUAUUAAAGGAUAUACAUACUUGGUACACAAACAAUAACAAAAACAAUAAGCGUUGUAGUAUUGCCACAUAUUUGAUUUAUGAUUUAUUUGCUUUAAUUAUUUAUAUAUAUGUAUAUGUAUACAUUUUAUAUAUAUUUUUUUUACAUUUAAGGCUUAGCAUGCAUUUAGCCCUAACAAAAUGCUUAACCUUAAUUUUUGAGCAAAUAGUGAUCAGUUUAUUAUUUUUUUACUAAUAUUAUGAUGAUGAUUUAAACUAUGUAGUUGUAUAUUAUACAUAUAUUAAAAAUAUACAAAUUAUAAAAAAAAAUUCUUUAGAAGUAAAAAGCAUACAUAAAAAAUGAUAUUGCAUUUAAAUCACAAAACACGUAAUCGUAUUUAAUGCUAAUUUUAAGUGAAUAUAUAGCAGAUGACAACAAUUUUUUGUUACACACAUAAAUAAAUAUGUAUGCAACUAAUAAAAGUAUUUAUUUAUUUUUUCAUAACUAGCUGUUAUAAACAUAUAUUUAUUGCUUACGAAAUUGCUUUAAAAAUCAUAUGUUUAGACAUAUACUAUAUAUAUAUUUUUCUAAGAUAAAUUAUACAAAUAUGCUUAUAUAUAAAUAUAAUAUAUCUAUGUAUUUAUUAUAUGUAUGCAAAUGUUUAGAUAAGUAUGUAAGUUUCCAAUAUUAAAACUACAUUGAUAUGUAAUAAUUAUUUUUGUUUUUUCUCUUUUGUAAAUAUUAAACAUAUAUUAUAAUUUUUACUUUUUAUAUUAUUGUUUAUUUAUUAUAUUAUUUUUUAUUUAUUAAGUGUAUUGCUUUAAUUGUUUAUGUGCGUAUCAAAAACUCGAUUUUAGUUUAUAUACACUUGUAGCGUUAGAUAUUCGGAGCUUGCGCGAGGUAAAAGCGGUUUAUGGUAGCGGUCAAAAAAAAAAAAUAAUAUAUUAUUAAAUAAUAUUUAUUUUUUUUUUUAUAUUUUUAAAAUAAAUAAUAUUUAUUAAAAAAAAAUAAUAUAUUAUUAAUUUUUUUUUCAAACGGCCACACUCGGCCGCUUUCUUUGCUUGGGUUUAAUUUUUCACAAAUUUUGAAUAUUAAAUAAUAUAUUAUUUUUUUUAAUAAAUAUUAUUUAUUAAAAAAAAAAAAAUAUUAUUUAAUAAUAUUAUGAAAAUGUUAAAAAAGAAUGGCCGUUUGGAAAAAUAAUUUUAAAAAAUUUAUUUUUUUCACUAAAAAUAUGGAAUUAUUAAAAUAUUGUAAAAAAAACUAUGAAUGCAGAUUGAGGUUAAAUUGUAAGAAAAAAAAAAAAAUAAAAAAUCUGCCGAAAAAAAAAAAAUUAAAACAAUUUAAAUGUGUUAUACCAAAUUGAAAUUAGAAAUAUCGUCUCAAAAAAUAACUUCCGCACAAAAAUAAUUUCAAGCAAAAAAAAAAACGAAUUUGAGCACUGACUUUUGAAUUAGUUAUAUAUUAAAAUUCACUCUGUAAAAGUUUUAUAUAAUAUUUUUAAGAGAAAUUCAAGGAAAACAUUAUAUUUAAUAUUUUCAAAAACAAUCCAAGGCAAAAGUGCAUAAUAAGUACAUCAUCUAACUAAAUUUAUGCGCAUAACAACAAAAAGAAAAUUUCGAGAGUAAUUCAAAGAAAAUUUUUGUAUAAAUAUAAAGAAAAGAAGUUAAAAUUAUGCUUAAUAAUUUAAAUGGCACUAGCCAGCUAUAAUAUGUAAAAUUUGUUAAAAAUAUUCGCUAAAAACUCUUUGCUUUCUGUGCUCCUAUUUUACUUAUGUUAAAAAGAAUUAAAAAAAAAUCAGCAAAAAUUUUCAACUUAAAAAUUGAAAUACCAGAUAUACAUGCAUAUAUAAUAUGUACAUUAAAAAACUCUAUAUUUUUUCGUUUUCGGCCGCUUUCUUUGCUUGGGUUUAAUUUUUCACAAAUUUUGAAUAUUUAAUAAUAUAUUAUUUUUUUUAAUAAAUAUUAUUUAUUUAAAAAAAAAAAAUAAAAUAAAUAUUAUUUAAUAAUAUUAUGAAAAUGUUAAAAAAGGGUGGCCGUUUGGAAAAAUAAUUUUAAAAAAUUUAUUUUUUUCACUAAAAAUAUGGAAUUAUUAAAAUAUUGUAAAAAAAAACUAUGAAUGCAGAUUGAGGUUAAAUUGUAAAAAAAAAUAAAAAAUCUGCCGAAAAAAAAUAAAAAUUUAAAACAAUUUAAAUAUGUUAUACCAAAAAAUUGAAAUUAGAAAUAUCGUCUCAAAAAAUAACUUCCGCACAAAAAUAAUUUCAAGCAAAAAAAAACGGAUUUGAGCACUGACUUUUGAAUUAGUUAUAUAUUAAAAUUCACUGUGUAAAAGUUGUAUAUUUUUAAGAGAAAUUCAAGGAAAACAUUAUAUUUUAUAUUUUCAAAAACAAUUCAAGGCAAAAAUGCAUAAUAAGUACAUUAUCUAACUAAAUUUAUGCGCAUAAAAAGAAAGAGAAAAUUUCGAGAGUAAUUCAGAGAAAAAUUUUGUAUAAAUAUAAAGAAAAGAAGUUAAAAUUAUGCUUAAUAAUUUAAUUAGCACUAGCCAGCUAUAAUAUGUAAAAUUUGUUAAAAAUAUUCGCUAAAAACUCUUUGCUUUCUGUGCUCCUAUUUUACUUAUGUUAAAAACAAUUUAAAAAAAUCAGCAAAAAUUUUCAACUUAAAAAUUGAAAUACCAGAUAUACAUGCAUUUAUAAUAUGUACAUUAACAACUCUAUAUUUUUUCGUUUGGUAUUCUAAAAAAAAUAUUUUUUAAAUUCAAAUAUCAGAUAUAACCUUAUUUUUACGGUGCCAAAGUCAUAACCAACAUUAAUGUUGAUUUCCAUAAGAAUUAGUCACGAAAUUCAGACCAUGCCUCACUGCUUAGCAAUAUUCGAAUAACGCGUCUUAUAAUUUAAUUAUAU